ACAAAACCGGAGGGGUCUUGGAACAACGUAAAUCCGACCAUGAAUCUGCAAGAAAGUAAAUAACACAAGAUGUAUCGUGGUUCACCCCAAUGUUUGGGCUAUGUCCAUACUGAUAUUGUAUUUCUUUAAGAGGAUUGUGAGGGAGAGAGCCUCUGUAAUGUGAGAGUGAGGGUUCUCUUCCCAGGGCCUAAGAAUUGGCCUCCCUUAAUGAGGAGAGUGAGGAGUCCUUUUAUAGAAUAAGGGCUCCUCACUUAUUACAUAUUUACCCCUUCAUUAUUACAUAAUUACAUUUGAGUCCCCCGAGUAUUUAUACGAGAUCUAAAUACGGAGGCCCUAAGUAUGGUACAAACACACCACAUGUCACACAAUUGUAUACAUGGCAUGUGACUCAACAAAUUGGAAGAAAUACCCUUGGAGGAUUAAACAAGUUUUUCUUCUCAUUUUUGGGCAAUGACAAGGCAAGCACACUUCAAUCCAUUAUGGAUGAAACAAGUUUUUCUUCUCAUUUUGGGCAAUGACAAGGUAAGCACAUUUCAAUCCAUUACGGAUCAAAACAAGUUUUUCUCAUUUGGGCAAUGACAAAACAAGCACACUUCAAGUUUAAAAUUGUAUCAAGUGGGAAAAUUAGGCCAUAAGUUUGACCACUUCAAGUUUAAAAUGGUAUUAAGUGGGAAGUUAGGCCAUAUGUUAGACCACUUCAAUUUCAAUAUUGCAUUAAGUGGGAAAAUUAGGUGAUGGUGCUUAAGUGGGAAAAUUUUGUGGUGGUGGUUCAUUCUCAAAGCCUAUAAAUAGGCUUCUCCAUCAAGGUAUCAAUCAUCCUAAAAUUCACAAAUACAUUUCUCUACUCCUAAAUUAGAAGAGAGUUCCCAGAAACCUUGAAGCUUUAAAACUCUAAAGCUCUCAUGCAAAUCCCGAAGGAUCAAGAAAGCCUUCUUCGUUCUUCGUCAAAUCCUUCUUCAAGAUCAAACCCCAAUGGCCCUUGAAGAACUUCCACCAAUUCAAGAUCAAGCCUCGACGGCCUUUGAAGAAAGUGUUCAUCGUUCAUUAUCCGGUCAUCCUAAGAUCAAGCCCCAACGACCCCUUUAGAUCAACAACAUCAACAAAUCCACACAUCCCCAUUCUUCAAGAUCAAGCCCAAAAGCCCUUGAAGAUCCGUUCAUCCCCGUUCUUCAAGAUCAAGCCGAAAAGCCCUUGAAGAUCUGUUCAUCCUCAAACCUUCAAGAUCAAGCCCAAAAGCCUUGAAGAUCCGUUCAUCCCCGUUCUUCAAGAUCAAGCCCAAAAGUCCUUGAAGAUCUAUUCAUCCUCAAACCUUCAAGAUCAAGCCCAAAAGCCCUUGAAUGAACUUCCCUCAACCUUCAAGAUCAAGCCUCGAGGGCUCUUCAAGAAACUUCCAACAGUUCAUCCAAAAUCAAGCCUCGACGGCCCUUGGAUCAACCUCACAUCCACAAAUCAACACCUUACAGAGAUCGAAUCAGAGGAUUAAGUUAUAAAGAGAUUGUAACCCUACAAAUCCAUUAACACCAAAACCUUUCUUUGUACACAUUGUUCAUGUUUCAGGAAUUUCCAUGUUCACAGUUUCAUCGGUUAGGCUUUUGUUCUACAAUGGAGAGUGAGAGUGGUUUAGAGAGUUGAAGAAGAUAAAUAAUCUUGUGAUAUACAUGUUAAAAGUGAUUUGGGGUGUAUUUAGUAUUUUUAAACCUUAUAAGGUUGAAAUUGUCAUUGCAAAAUAGAGUAUUUAAAUCAUUUAAUAUUAAAUUUUAAUGUGGGGUGUUAAUAAAAAAAACCUUAUUAUUAUUAUUAUUAUUAUUAUUUUGAACAAAUGAUAUUAUCUACAUAAAGGGGGGUGAUUAUAUUGAAUGCCUCCAAAUGUAGAAAAACUCAAUGACAAGGUGGUUGCCGAUUUUAUGAUGAUUUCACCUUCUUCUCUAUGGUUGGUGUGACCAAUUAUGAGAAUAUACUACUCUAGAGAAUGAAUUUGAAUGCUUGUACGGCAACAUGAUUCAUUUAAUACAAACGAUAUUGAGUGACGGAUGAAUUAUCUUAACCAAUACGAUGCAUGUUUGUUGCAUGUAUAGUAAGAAAAAAAAAUCUUAAAGAAAUAAUUCCAUAACUUAAGAGCCUCAAUCAAAUUAGGUGACAUGUGAUUUUUCAUUUGAAUUUUAAUGAAUAUAAGUUAUAUAACAUUUGUUCAUCUCAUAUGUCACGCUCUCUCGAGAUACAUUCAAGAUUAAUACCCAACAAAAACAAGUAGUGGUACAAUAAUAUAUAGAAACAGUCGGAACUCAUACAUAAUAUACAUUAGCUAUUUAACAUAAAUAAAAUUAUAAUAAAUCUUAGAGUAGGAUGGCACAUCAUCAAUACUUGACCUCCAACCCUUUCAUACUAGACAUUGAAAAUAUUUAACAAACAAUUUAAAAUGUUUUAUGCCUAAUUUUAGAUUACUAGUUGAUUAUAAGAUUGAUAGCUAGAUAUGUGACAAUAUAAUUUAGGGUAAAUUACACUUUACCACCUCAAGUUUGAGGUCUAUUACAAUCUCAUACAACAUCUUCAAAACAUUUCACUUUCAUACCUCAAGUACUAUUUUACUUCAAUAUAAUACAUCCAUUACAUUUUCCAUCCGUUAUUCUGUUAAGAGAUGAUGUAGCUACCACAUUUAUGCCACGUGGCUGCCACAUUUGUGCCACGUGGCUAAAAAAUAUUUUUU
rnacentral:lncRNA from 1 species